rnacentral:rRNA from 1 species
GAGUAGAUCUGCUCAUGAGGUAACUUGAAUAGCCGCAGUAUAUUGACUGUGCUAAGGUAGCAUAACAUUUGUCUUUUAAUUUGAGGCUGGAAUGAAUGGUUUGAUGGGGAGAAGCUGUCUAGCUCUAAGUCUAUUGAAUUUUAGAUCUUAGUAAAAACGCUAAGAUGAGGCUGAGGGACGAUAAGACCCUAUUAAGCUUUAUCUUUACUAGGGAGUGUGAUUGACAGGUACUUUUGAGAUUGAGGUUGCAUUGGGGCGAUGGGCAGAGGUGAGAACCUUUGCUAUAGAGGGAAGAGUUUUUAGAUCCGUUAUAUAGCGAUAAGAGGAUCAAGUUACUAUAGGGAUAACAGUAUGAUUUGCUUGGAGAGUUCAAAUUGAGAAGCAAGUUUGUUACCUCGAUGUUGAAUUAAAGUUUCUUUAAGGUGCAGUAGCUUUAGGGGGAGGGUCUGUUCGACCCUUUAAGCUUUACAUGAUCUGAGUUCAAACCGGAGA